AUCCCGCCCCCUCGGCAGGACCAGAUCCCGCCCCCUCGGCAGGACCAGAUCCCGCCCACUUGGCAGGACCAGACCCGACAGUUCAGCAGGACCAGACCCCAACCGUUCAGCAGGACCAGACCCCAACCGUACGACAGGUCCAAAUCCUGACCGUUCGGCAGGUCUAGCUCUUGCCCGCUGGUCUCACAGCAGGACCAGAACCCGCCCGCUCGGCAGGACCAGAUCCGGCCUCUCGGCAGGACUAGAUCCCGCCCCCUCGGCAGGACUAGAUCCCGCCCCCUCGGCAGGACCAGACCCCGCCCGCUCGCUCAGCAGACAAGUUUUGUCCGUGAAGACAAAAAAAUGAAGCAGGCUUCAAUGAAGCAACCCCCAUCCUGAAAUACAAAUUAAAUAUUAUGUACACACGUGAAACUUGAGAUUAUUGGUUAACAAGUAUUUAAAACUGAGAUCUGGGUUUGUUUUAAAACUUUGAUUACUCAGUUAGCUGGAUUUUAUUGUUAAUACUUUUCUUUGAUCUAUUUGAGUCUUAAAAUCUUAUCCUGUAGUUGUUGUCAAGCAACAGAUUUAAAUGUUAAAACCUCUCCGGGGACCAGGCUUAGUUAACCAGAAAUGAGAGCUUUAUAAUUGAGGUGAUAGGGGAAGUCUGUCACAGCUUUGUCCUCUUCAUGUUUAUAAGAGUAAUCUGUUGAGGAUGCUGUGAUAUGAAUAUGUGUAAACUUAUAAAUUAGAAAAAUGUAAAUGUUAAAAAAUUUGACUUUUCCAUUCUUCUGUAAUAGUAACAGUAAACAGGAUAGAUUACAGAUGAGUACAGUGUACAAGCUUAAAAUACAGGUAUACAAUUCAACAUAACAUUUAACAUUAUUGUCAUAACUAAGUACCAGUUACAAUAACAUUAACUCAUAAGCAGACGUCAUGAGUUGCAGGAUUUCUUCCCCAUGGUUCCCAAAUGGCCACAGACAGACAGACAGACUGUAUAACUGAAUAUAACUGUAUAACCUCCAGCAAUGAAGAAGAUUCAAAGAAAGAAAGGAAGAAGUGUUAUACAGUGAAUUAUUAACACGUUUUGUUAGUUGAUUUAUUUGCAUUAUUUUUAAAAGUUUAUUUUGUACAUUGUUUUUCUGUAUUGAAUGACCUUCCUUUUUUAGGGAGUCAGACACACUUGAUCAGUCAGAUCGAGACUCGUCUGUUUAACCAAGCGUUCACCUGAUUUAUUACCUAAACAUGUUUAUGCUUCAAUAGUGAGGUUGACCUAAACCAAACACACAUCUAUCUUACUGUAAAACUUGUACAUUAUAUAUCAGCAGCCUCCAAACUAACAUCAGCUUGUUUUGUCUGCAUGUCUCAUGCUUUUGUUUUCAGACUCAGCUCCGGUUCAGUGUGAUGCUCAAUGAUGACUGCAGCCAUCAACCAGAAGCAAUGAAAUCUGUGAUGAUCAAAACCUUCAACUUUGCAUCCCAGGAUCUGUCGCCGAAAUGCAUCGAUGCGAGUAAGUGAAGCAACUGUGAGGAUGAGACGGUCCACAUGCUCCUAAACUGUGAUGCAUUUUUUUUUGAUGUUUAUUGUUGUUUUAAAUCAAAAACCAUGGUAACUACACUUUUACUAUAAUGAAACCAUAAUUACUUUUUAUAAGAGUCUGUCC